GUCUGAUGGUUCUUUGUCGAAGAU
rnacentral:sRNA from 1 species